ACAUGCAAGUCGAGCGGAAACGAGUUAUCUGAACCUUCGGGGAACGAUAACGGCGUCGAGCGGCGGACGGGUGAGUAAUGCCUAGGAAAUUGCCCUGAUGUGGGGGAUAACCAUUGGAAACGAUGGCUAAUACCGCAUGAUGCCUACGGGCCAAAGAGGGGGACCUUCGGGCCUCUCGCGUCAGGAUAUGCCUAGGUGGGAUUAGCUAGUUGGUGAGGUAAGGGCUCACCAAGGCGACGAUCCCUAGCUGGUCUGAGAGGAUGAUCAGCCACACUGGAACUGAGACACGGUCCAGACUCCUACGGGAGGCAGCAGUGGGGAAUAUUGCACAAUGGGCGCAAGCCUGAUGCAGCCAUGCCGCGUGUGUGAAGAAGGCCUUCGGGUUGUAAAGCACUUUCAGUCGUGAGGAAGGUGGUGUAGUUAAUAGCUGCAUUAUUUGACGUUAGCGACAGAAGAAGCACCGGCUAACUCCGUGCCAGCAGCCGCGGUAAUACGGAGGGUGCGAGCGUUAAUCGGAAUUACUGGGCGUAAAGCGCAUGCAGGUGGUUUGUUAAGUCAGAUGUGAAAGCCCGGGGCUCAACCUCGGAAUAGCAUUUGAAACUGGCAGACUAGAGUACUGUAGAGGGGGGUAGAAUUUCAGGUGUAGCGGUGAAAUGCGUAGAGAUCUGAAGGAAUACCGGUGGCGAAGGCGGCCCCCUGGACAGAUACUGACACUCAGAUGCGAAAGCGUGGGGAGCAAACAGGAUUAGAUACCCUGGUAGUCCACGCCGUAAACGAUGUCUACUUGGAGGUUGUGGCCUUGAGCCGUGGCUUUCGGAGCUAACGCGUUAAGUAGACCGCCUGGGGAGUACGGUCGCAAGAUUAAAACUCAAAUGAAUUGACGGGGGCCCGCACAAGCGGUGGAGCAUGUGGUUUAAUUCGAUGCAACGCGAAGAACCUUACCUACUCUUGACAUCCAGAGAACUUUCCAGAGAUGGAUUGGUGCCUUCGGGAACUCUGAGACAGGUGCUGCAUGGCUGUCGUCAGCUCGUGUUGUGAAAUGUUGGGUUAAGUCCCGCAACGAGCGCAACCCUUAUCCUUGUUUGCCAGCGAGUAAUGUCGGGAACUCCAGGGAGACUGCCGGUGAUAAACCGGAGGAAGGUGGGGACGACGUCAAGUCAUCAUGGCCCUUACGAGUAGGGCUACACACGUGCUACAAUGGCGCAUACAGAGGGCGGCCAACUUGCGAAAGUGAGCGAAUCCCAAAAAGUGCGUCGUAGUCCGGAUUGGAGUCUGCAACUCGACUCCAUGAAGUCGGAAUCGCUAGUAAUCGUGGAUCAGAAUGCCACGGUGAAUACGUUCCCGGGCCUUGUACACACCGCCCGUCACACCAUGGGAGUGGGCUGCAAAAGAAGUAGGUAGUUUAACCUUCGGGGG
rnacentral:rRNA from 1 species